rnacentral:rRNA from 1 species
GACGUAGGGCGCGAGCGUUGUCCGGAUUUAUUGGGCGUAAAGAGCUCGUAGGCGGCUUGUCGCGUCGUUCGUGAAAACCUGUGGCUCAACUACAGGCUUGCGGUCGAUACGGGCAGGCUGGAGUUCGGUAGGGGAGACUGGAAUUCCUGGUGUAGCGGUGAAAUGCGCAGAUAUCUGGAGGAACACCGGUGGCGAAGGCGGCGUUCUGGACUGUUUCUGACACUGAAUAACGAAAGCCAGGGGAGCAAACGGG